rnacentral:rRNA from 1 species
UACGAAGGGGACUAGCGUUGCUCGGAAUCACUGGGCGUAAAGCGCACGUAGGCGGCUUCUUAAGUCAGGGGUGAAAUCCUGGAGCUCAACUCCAGAACUGCCUUUGAUACUGAGGAGCUUGAGUCCGGGAGAGGUGAGUGGAACUGCGAGUGUAGAGGUGAAAUUCGUAGAUAUUCGCAAGAACACCAGUGGCGAAGGCGGCUCACUGGCCCGGUACUGACGCUGAGGUGCGAAAGCGUGGGGAGCAACAGGG